AUGCAACUUGCUCUGUUCCAGUAUUGGGCUAUCAGACUAUCACUGGGAAAGACCAAUCUCCUCGGAAGCAACAGAUUCAGUUGGGGGAAGGUGUGGUUGACUGAGGCAGUCUUCUGCCGCUGCAACAUCCACGCAAUAAUGGUGUACCAAAUCCACCUUAAGCACACGCUGGUCGCCCAGGUCGCGCAGAUGGAAUGGCUGGUCGAAUUUUGCAGGCGUGAUAGAACCGACCGAAAAGUUCAGGGCACCAAAAGCAACGUGGUACUCACUGUUCCCGCCAAGAACGGCACGCAAGGACUGCUUUGCAUGUGCUCGGCGACCUCAGCAACAGGUGUACUAAAAACACCAGAGAGCGUUCAUUCAUGCGAGAAUCAUCUGCCAUGGAAUAUCUGA
rnacentral:rRNA from 1 species